rnacentral:rRNA from 1 species
UACGUAGGGGGCAAGCGUUGUCCGGAUUUAUUGGGCGUAAAGAGCGUGUAGGCGGCCAAGCAGGUCCGCUGUGAAAACUCGAGGCUCAACCUCGAGAGGUCGGUGGAAACCGUUUGGCUAGAGUCCGGAAGAGGAGAGUGGAAUUCCCAGUGUAGCGGUGAAAUGCGCAGAUAUCAGGAGGAACACCGGUGGCGAAGGCGGGUCUCUGGGCCGAAACUGACGCUGAGGAGCGAAAGCGUGGGGAGCAAACAGG